rnacentral:rRNA from 1 species
UACAGAGGUCUCAAGCGUUGUUCGGAUUCAUUGGGCGUAAAGGGCGCGUAGGCUGCGGGGCAAGUCGGGUGUGAAAUCUCAGAGCUCAACUCUGAAACUGCACUCGAUACUGCUUUGCUUGAGGACUGGAGAGGAGACUGGAAUUCACGGUGUAGCAGUGAAAUGCGUAGAGAUCGUGAGGAAGACCAGUGGCGAAGGCGGGAUCUCUGGACAGUUCCUGACGCUGAGGCGCGAAGGCCAGGGGAGCAAACGGGG